AGUGAACGCUGGCCCUAGGCCUAACACAUGCAAGUCGAACGGCAGCACAGUAAGAGCUUGCUCUUACGGGUGGCGAGUGGCGGACGGGUUAGGAAUACAUCGGAAUCUACUUUUUCGUGGGGUGUAACGUAGGGAAACUUACGCUAAUACCGCAUACGACCAACUGGUGAAAGCAUGCGAUCUUCGCACCUUGCGCGAUUGUAUGAGCCGAUGACGGAUUAGCCAGUUGGCGGCGUAAAGGCCCACCAAGGCGACGUCCCGUAGCUGGUAUGUGAGGAUGAACAGCCACACUGGAUCUGAGACCCGGUCCAGAGUCCUACGGGAGGCAGCAAUGUGGAAUCUUGGACCAUGGGCGCAAGCCUGAUCCAGCCAUCCCGCGUGAGUGAAGAAGGCCUUCGGGUUGUAAAGCCCUUUUGUUGGGAAAGAAAAGCAGCAGCUUACUCCCCCGCUGUUCUGACGGUAGCCUAAAAAUAAGGACCGGCUAACUUCGUG
rnacentral:rRNA from 1 species